GAGUAACGCGUAGGAAUCUACCCAGUAGCGGGGGAUAAGCCAGAGAAAUUUGGUCUAAUACCGCAUACGCCCUUCGGGGGAAAGCAGGGGAUCUUCGGACCUUGCACUAUUGGAUGAGCCUGCGUGAGAUUAGCUUGUUGGUGAGGUAAUGGCUCACCAAGGCGACGAUCUCUAGCUGGUCUGAGAGGAUGAUCAGCCACACUGGAACUGAGACACGGUCCAGACUCCUACGGGAGGCAGCAGUGGGGAAUAUUGCACAAUGGGCGCAAGCCUGAUGCAGCCAUGCCGCGUGUGUGAAGAAGGCCCUAGGGUUGUAAAGCACUUUCAGCAGUGAGGAAAGGUUAGUAGUUAAUACCUGCUAGCUGUGACGUUAACUGCAGAAGAAGCACCGGCUAACUCCGUGCCAGCAGCCGCGGUAAUACGGAGGGUGCGAGCGUUAAUCGGAAUUACUGGGCGUAAAGCGCGCGUAGGUGGAUUGGUCAGUCAGAUGUGAAAGCCCAGGGCUCAACCUUGGAACUGCACCUGAUACUGCCAAUCUAGAAUACGGUAG
rnacentral:rRNA from 1 species